rnacentral:lncRNA from 1 species
GAAAUUGAAAAAAAAAAUGUUAUAGAGUGAGAUUAAGGACUAUGUUUCGAUCCUUUCUAGUUUCCACUUGUGUUUGAGUCCUUCAUGAAAGUUGUAAGUUUACUUCUUAGCUUUCCAACCCAUCCUCUUGUGUCCAAUUUGAAUAUGUAUAGCUCAACUUAUGGCUAAAACACCCAAACUGUCUCUGUUAUGACGGGCUACAUGCAUCACUGAAUUGAGUGCCCUUUUUGACCACUAUAAUGAUAAGAUUAUGUUCUGAGUUCUUCAUGAGAGUUGUUGCCCUGUGUCUUGAGACUUCUCUGGUUUUGGAUUGGUGUGAUUUGAGUGUCUGGAUAAGUAG